GAUGAACGCUGUCGGCGUGCCUAAUUCAUUCAAGUCAAGCGAACAGUUCAGGAGCUUGCUCCUUUGACUUUAUCGGCGGACGUGUGAGUAACACUUGGGUAACCUACCUAUAAGACUGGAAUAACUCCGGGAAACCGGGGCUAAUGCCGGAUAACAUUUAGAACCGCAUGGUUCUAAAGUGAAAGAUGGUUUUGCUAUCACUUAUAGAUGGACCCGCGCCGUAUUAGCUAGUUGGUAAGGUAACGGCUUACCAAGGCAACGAUACGUAGCCGACCUGAGAGGGUGAUCGGCCACACUGGAACUGAGACACGGUCCAGAAUCCUACGAAAGGCACCAGUAGGGAAACUGCCGAAAGGAGCGAAAGCCUGACGGAGCAACGCAGCGUGAGUGAUGAAGGUCUACGGAACGUAAGACAGUGGUAGUAGGGAAGAACAAAUGUGAAAGUAACUGUGCACGUCUUGACGGUACAUAAUCAGAAAGCCACGGCUAACUACGUG
rnacentral:rRNA from 1 species